AGUGAACGCUGGCGGUAGGCCUAACACAUGCAAGUCGAACGGCAGCACAGUAAGAGCUUGCUCUUACGGGUGGCGAGUGGCGGACGGGUGAGGAAUACAUCGGAAUCUACUUUUUCGUGGGGGAUAACGUAGGGAAACUUACGCUAAUACCGCAUACGACCUACGGGUGAAAGCAGGGGAUCUUCGGACCUUGCGCAAUUGAAUGAGCCGAUGUUGGAUUAGCUAGUUGGCGGGGUAAAGGCCCACCAAGGCGACGAUCCGUAGCUGGUCUGAGAGGAUGAUCAGCCACACUGGAACUGAGACACGGUCCAGACUCCUACGGGAGGCAGCAGUGGGGAAUAUUGGACAAUGGGCGCAAGCCUGAUCCAGCCAUACCGCGUGGGUGAAGAAGGCCUUCGGGUUGUAAAGCCCUUUUGUUGGGAAAGAAAAGCAGCAGGUUAAUACCCCGCUGUUCUGACGGUACCCAAAGAAUAAGCACCGGCUAACUUCGUG
rnacentral:rRNA from 1 species